AGAAGCUUGCUUCUCUGGUGUUAGCGGCGGACGGGUGAGUAACACGUGGAUAACCUACCUAUAAGACUGGGAUAACUUCGGGAAACCGGAGCUAAUACCGGAUAAUAUUUUGAACCGCAUGGUUCAAAAGUGAAAGACGGUCUUGCUGUCACUUAUAGAUGGAUCCGCGCUGCAUUAGCUAGUUGGUAAGGUAACGGCUUACCAAGGCAACGAUGCAUAGCCGACCUGAGAGGGUGAUCGGCCACACUGGAACUGAGACACGGUCCAGACUCCUACGGGAGGCAGCAGUAGGGAAUCUUCCGCAAUGGGCGAAAGCCUGACGGAGCAACGCCGCGUGAGUGAUGAAGGUCUUCGGAUCGUAAAACUCUGUUAUUAGGGAAGAACAUAUGUGUAAGUAACUGUGCACAUCUUGACGGUACCUAAUCAGAAAGCCACGGCUAACUACGUGCCAGCAGCCGCGGUAAUACGUAGGUGGCAAGCGUUAUCCGGAAUUAUUGGGCGUAAAGCGCGCGUAGGCGGUUUUUUAAGUCUGAUGUGAAAGCCCACGGCUCAACCGUGGAGGGUCAUUGGAAACUGGAAAACUUGAGUGCAGAAGAGGAAAGUGGAAUUCCAUGUGUAGCGGUGAAAUGCGCAGAGAUAUGGAGGAACACCAGUGGCGAAGGCGACUUUCUGGUCUGUAACUGACGCUGAUGUGCGAAAGCGUGGGGAUCAAACAGGAUUAGAUACCCUGGUAGUCCACGCCGUAAACGAUGAGUGCUAAGUGUUAGGGGGUUUCCGCCCCUUAGUGCUGCAGCUAA
rnacentral:rRNA from 1 species